rnacentral:rRNA from 1 species
UUCCGGUUGAUCCUGCCGGACCCGACUGCUAUUUGGGUGAGGAUAAGCCAUGCGAGUCGAAUGGGAUACCUAAAUUUCCCAUGGCGAACUGCUCAAUAACACAUGAUCAACUUGCCCUAUAGAGAAAAAUAACCUCGGGAAACUGAGGAUAAUGUUUCAUAGUUGAAAAGGCUUGGAAAAGUUUUUCGACCAAAGGGAUAAAAAAAAUGGUUUUUAUCCGCUAUAGGAUAGGAUCGUGCUCGAUUAUGGUCGUUGGUGAGGUAACGGCUCACCAAGCCGAUAAUCGAUAGGGGCCGUGAGAGCGGGAGCCCCGAGAUGGGUACUGAGACAGCGACCCAGGCCUUACGAGGCGCAGCAGGCGCGGAACCUCCGCAAUACACGAAAGUGUGACGGGGUUACCCAAAGUGUUCAAUUUUGAACUGUGGUAGGUGAGUAAUGUCCCCUGCUAGAAAGGAGAGGGCAAGGCUGGUGCCAGCCGCCGCGGUAAAACCAGCUCUUCAAGUGGUCGGGAUAAUUAUUGGGCUUAAAGUGUCCGUAGCCGGUUUAGUAAGUUCCUGGUAAAAUCAGGUAGCUUAACUAUCUGUAUGCUAGGAAUACUGCUAUACUAGAGGGCGGGAGAGGUCUGAGGUACUACAGGGGUAGGGGUGAAAUCUUAUAAUCCUUGUAGGACCACCAGUGGCGAAGGCGUCAGACUGGAACGCGCCUGACGGUGAGGGACGAAAGCCAGGGGAGCGAACCGGAUUAGAUACCCGGGUAGUCCUGGCCGUAAACGAUGCAUACUAGGUGAUGGUACGGCCAUGAGCCGUGUCAGUGCCGUAGGGAAACCGUUAAGUGUGCCGCCUGGGAAGUACGGUCGCAAGGCUAAAACUUAAAGGAAUUGGCGGGGGAGCACCACAAGGGGUGAAGCCUGCGGUUCAAUUGGACUCAACGCCGGU